ncrna:unclassified sequences L13-Bacteroidia ribosomal protein leader
GGGGCGACACUCUUAGAAUCGCUCCAGCAUGAGCGUGUUAAUAGUGUCGCGUAAGGCCAUGCGUCAUGGUUAGGGAAUC